AUAUAUAUAAAUAUAGAAUAUACUUAUAUAUGUAAUAUAAAAAUAUGUAAAUAUGUAAAUAUGUAAUAUAUAUAAAUAUAGAAUAUGUGACAUGCAUGUCACAACAUUAAGGUACUUUCAAAAUCCUUUUCUGCCUUGCCAAGCUGUAAGAGUAUGCUUAUAUGCUUAGGACAUAAAAGCCUUGCCUCUGUAUGUUCAAAAGUAAAAUAUUGGUCACAAGUUGACUUAACGUGCUAAGCAAGAAACUUGCAGAAGAGAUAGUGCUUUCAUCAACUUUUGUACUUACUUUCUUUUACCACAUCUAAAUAAUAGAAUAAUGUAUUCUGUAGAAUUAUUUAUUUUAAUGUUUAAUUGCUUGAGUUGUAUCUCUCACUGAAUCCCUAAGGAAAAAGUCUUUUGCCCCUCGGGUUUUGCUGUUGUUUCUCUUGUGUUAUUAUAAUUUUUAACUGGUUUAUCUGAUUCUUUCUGUACAGUGGUAUGAACAUAAUCAAGGCUGAGUUCAGCCUCUUCUAAUUCAUGAGCUGAACAGCGUGCAUCUGGUCCACGUACAGAACAGGCAGAGCAAUCAGCCAGGCUGGCUUCUCAGCUGCAGUUACUUGACAGAGCUUAGCCUGUACUACUUUGCAGUACUACAGCAGUACUGCUCUGUGCACUCUAGCUAAGGAGUUGGUAUUCAGUGCUUGAGGCAAUAAUCUAUUUUUUAUGCUACUGCUGAACGUAGUUUAUCCCAUUAUUAGGUAUUUUUCUCUAGCAUUGUGACAGCAAUUCAAGGAAUAUUCUAAUUUUGUUGGAUUAUUCUUUUUUUCCCCAAGGAUUUUAAACAAGAUUAAAGUAUAAAUAAGGUGAGACACCAAACAAAACCAUAGCUCAGUAUUUUAAGUACUGCAGUGCAGGGGGCAAAUAAUGAGAAUAAUGAUAAAUGUAUUGCAAUAUGUAUCAAUUAGAUGUAAAAAGCAAAAACUGCUAAAGGUUUUGCUCCUCAUUCAGCCUGUACCCUUUGUUACUCUGCCUUUUCGUAACUGUCUAGCAGGGCUGAGAUGUCUUAUUAACAUGUGCUAAUGCUACUGAAGCAAAUCUAGACCAGUUGCAUGCACCAUCACAAUAUCUGAGUCACUCCGUGUAGCCAAGGCAGGAGAGCAGCUUCACAAAGCCCACGUGACCACAUCUGCAGUGUGUCAUAAUGCAGCAUAUGCAGCGUGCACCCAGAAAACAGGGAGAACCUGUGCUUCUCAGCUGUCACAGCCACAGGAUAGUCACAGAACAGAACAUCAGGAGACUCUAAAUGGUCUGCUUUGUGAGAAGUUAUCAAUUAAUUCUGUAAAAGGAUGAUACAAGGGAUUUUGUGCAUAAGUAUUAAUUUCAUGAAUUCUCCCUUGCUUUUUGAGCUCAGCAUGUUCAUGAGCCAGCUGACUGUGAACAUCAAGUCUUUGAUACAGUUUAAUUAUACCUGUUGUUCUAUGUUUUAUGUAUCAUUUAAUUUGUUUAUUAAAAUAAUUUAACAUAAUCUUUAACCAUUACAUAAAAUUCUAUGGUGGUUCAUGAUGUUAUAGCUGGAAAAUACCUAGAGCUAAUACCAAUUUUCUUACUACCUUCUUAUUGAUACCAUUAUUAUUUUACUCUCACAUCUAGUAGAGAAAAAAAAAUUCCCUUCUUCUCAGAGUACCACCAUUUUCCAUGAAAAGUCACUCUAGCCAGAAAGAUGCUGAACUGCAACAGACCUGCUCUUAUCUGAACGUUACACCUGAACAAUCAAGAAGUGUUUAUGAACUCACUCUGAUGGUGCUGAAAGUAAAUUAGCUACUCAUACAAGAGCUACAUUCUAUACUGCCCCAAAAACGGAAGAAAAGAGAAAGAUUUAUGAUGAUUACUCACAUUAGUCCACGUUUUUUAAAUGGCUCUUAAACAGAAUACAGUGAGAAGGAAGAAGAGGUAUUUUAAGACUGAUUUAAAACAAACUUUUUCCAUGUUUUUAUUUUUUUUCCUCACCCCAAAUAAAUUGGAAGCUUGCACUAGAUACAAACGAGGCAGAAAACAUACAUGGAAAAUUAGACAAAUGACAUUCAAAACUUUCUUGGCUUAUUAAUACAAAAAUAAAAUUCAACACCACAAAUUGUGAGACAGUGUCUCGGAGAUCAUCAGUACACUGAAAUAGCAGGGAAAUAAAUGAUGCUCAGAAGUGGACUUUGAGACCGUGUGUGUGAAAUCUGAAAUGUAAGAACUGUUGUAGUGGUACAUUUAGUUUUGUUGCAAGGAUUUAGAAAAACAGGAGCCUGUUAUUUCAUUUGAAAUAUUUGAUAUUUUUGGUUAAAUCAAAGCUUUACAUAUAGCAGAUGAAAUUGUCUUCAGAAAAUAUUUGCACCUAUAACCAUUCCAUGAAGUUUUCUGAAUUGCGAAGUCCAACGCUGGCUAUCACUAGUUGAGGAAACAGGAUUUUAUUUUUAGAUUUUUGUGCUCAGUAAAUCAAAAGGAAGCUUUUCAUGAUCCAGGUAAGUCAGAAGUCAGUACUAGUGAUACCAGUACCAGAGAACCAAGAGACCCUAAAGUAAAGCAUGUAACAUGCAAAGCUCACGUGUCUUGAUUGUUAGUUCAGCGUAGGAAGAAAGAAUGACAAGAUUUCUCAUCCUUUCAGGACAGCUUCCAGGUGAGACACAUCACCUAUAAGAAAAGAAAUAUAGCUAUUCUAAAGAAAUACUCAUUAGUUGCAGAUCAGUCUGGCAUUUAAGUUGCUUGGGGCACCAUUGUAGGCAGUGUAGAAAGACGACCUGCUCAGCACUGUGUUUAGCACCAUCUCACGUUUUCAUAACAGUUUUUAAAAUCUUGUGCUUUAUGACAGUUGAAACUUGUAACAUGAAGAGAAACAAGCAGUGAGCCUGGCUUUAGAGCAGAAGCUCUUAGAUGAGAUAUUCAGAUGACAUUCCUCCUGUUACUGAGAUGCUGCAUGUAGAAAAUAAAAGUUGCCACUAAAAAUCCUGUUCAUUGCUCCUUCUUCAUUUCUUAAUUAUAAAGAAGCAAUGGUGAGGAAGGACCAACAUAUUGCAAUGCUGGCUGUGGUCUAGAUGAUAAAAGGAAGAGCUUGUAUACUUCCCUCUGGUUCUGUAGAUUAAAAGUAACCUGGAAGCAAUCUGUAUUAUCUUUUCCACAGAGAUUGGUAUCUUUGAUGUUCAGAUACUCUUCUUAUCCCUUCAUAGGGAAAUAAAGGCAAAUUCCCUGCAACUGUCCUGUGAAUAAAAUGGAUGGAAAAGGUAACACUAGGUCAUUCUCAAGACCUGGGUGCAAGUUUUCUUAACUUGGAAAAGAAAACCCAGAUUUUAUAGGUUACGUAAAUUUGUGGCAAGGCUUGUCUCAGACGAAUCAUCAUAGGAAAGAAGUUGAGUCAAGUCAGUGGCAGCCAGAACAUACAGCUGUAAGGCAAAGGACACCUCCAUCCUUCCUGUGACAGAAAAUAAUGACAGCAAUUUCUGUGGGAAGAACAAGAUCUCUGUGACAGUAGAUAGGAAUUCAUCAGUGAAUUCUGAAAAGAUUACAGAUUAUGGAAAGAGUCCCAAAAGCACGUCUGGAUAAAGGCUGGCAGUAACUCACUAGAGGUUAUCUGGAAGAUCCCUCAGGCAGAGGUCCUGCAGCCUGUGGCACUCUCAAACAGAGAGCCUUCAGAGGCUCACUGGGUCUUUGCUGAUCAUUCUGUUGGCUCUCUAUCUCUGGGCUUCGAGCAGGGACAAGCACAGCACGUUAAGACAGAUGGCUUUAUUGAUCUCUUCUGUGUGGUAGUCCUGGAUUGCACUUAGACAUACAGCAGAACAAAUAUAUGAUGGUUGAUUGGAAGAGCUUUCUCUCCAGGCUAGGGUUUGAAAGAAUAGGGUAUGUCUGAUCUUUCAGAAAUUACCUUGUUUUGCAUUUGAGAAUGGAGAAGACUCACUUUUAAAAAAUUAUUCUUUUUUCCCCCGGUACUGUUUCUGAUCAGAUCCUAACCUCUCAUUAAAGCAAAUCAGUAUUUCCACCCACAGGAAAUAAGAGCUUAGAGUCAAUUCCUCUGUUAUUAUUUUGUAGUUAAAUUGUAAAAUCACUGAGAGGCAUCAAUCAGGAUUGGAUUAAAGUAAUGCCAGGAAAAAAAAAAGAAACAAAAAACCCCACAAAAACAACAGAACUAGAUCACAGUUUCGGACUCUGAUCCCUCCCUAUUCCAAGUUCUUACGGAUUUCAUAUCAUUUAAUUACAGCCCAAAAAGUACUUCUUUUGGAAAACCAAUUAAUAUGCCUUCUCAGUGCAUCUGUAGUACAUUCAUCCAUAAAAAUAUGAGUUAUAAGUGGUAUUUUGUGUAGGAAAGAUCUAGGGCAUAACACAGAUGUUUCUGGGAGGGAAAAUCUCAGUGUUCAUUAUUAAUCACAGGCUCAGAUAUGUAUAGAGUGGGCAGGAUAUAGCACAGAGGAGUAGAGUUAAUACAAGAUGUGAUGUUUUUGGCAUCUAUACAAAGCAUGAUUUAAAAGAAACAAACAGUCAAAAGGGAAACAGCUCAAACCCCUCAAAAACAGCAGCAGCAGCAGCAAAUGGUCACUUUAGCAGACUGAAUACGAUAAAUAUUACUUAGUCAGUACCCAUACAGAAUGCUGUAUUUAGUCUAUAAUAAUAAUGACAAUGAAGUAGAAACUGGAAUAAGUAAAAAAAGUCACCUACCUGAGCAAGACAAGAACAGCCUCUCAUGAAGGGUUAAAACUUGGAAAAUAUUUGGAGGCAAAAAUGGUGGAUAGUUGGUCAGUCCAUGCCUGCUCUCGACCACAGCCUUUAGACCUUAGAAACUUUGUUUGGUGUAGGGCUUUCAUCCAUUCUGAAACUCUUCUUGGCAGCCUCCUCACCCUCCUCUGCAGUAGGCAUUGGCAACAAAAGCACUUGUUGACGUUGGAUAUCCUUUACAUUGCCUUCUUGGAAACCCUGCAAGUGGAAAUUAAAUGUUAGAUUAACUAUGACUUUUUUACUACCUAACUAAAGGGCUUAAUAAAUAAGUGCUUAAAGAAGCAAUAUUAAGCUUGCUGUACC
ensembl:lncRNA